rnacentral:rRNA from 1 species
UACGGGGGGGGCAAGCGUUGUUCGGAAUUACUGGGCGUAAAGGGUUUGUAGGUGGCUUGUUAAGUCAGACGUGAAAUCCCUCAGCUUAACUGGGGAACUGCGUCUGAUACUGGCGAGCUUGAGUGCAGGAGAGGAACGCGGAAUUCCAGGUGUAGCGGUGAAAUGCGUAGAUAUCUGGAGGAACACCGGUGGCGAAGGCGGCAUCCUGGACCGGCAUUGACGCUGAACAGCGAAAGCCAGGGGAGCAAACGGG